rnacentral:rRNA from 1 species
UACGUAGGGUGCGAGCGUUGUCCGGAAUUAUUGGGCGUAAGGAGCUCGUAGGCGGUCUGUCGCGUCGGUCGUGAAAACUUGGGGCUUAACCCUGAGCUUGCGGUCGAUACGGGCAUGACUGGAGUUCGGUAGGGGAGACUGGAAUUCCUGGUGUAGCGGUGAAAUGCGCAGAUAUCAGGAGGAACACCGGUGGCGAAGGCGGGUCUCUGGGCCGAUACUGACGCUGAGGAGCGAAAGCGUGGGGAGCAAACAGG